rnacentral:rRNA from 1 species
UACGGAGGGGGCUAGCGUUGUUCGGAAUUAUUGGGCGUAAAGGGCGCGUAGGCGGCCUGGCAAGUGGAAGGUGAAAUCCCUCGGCUUAACCGAGGAACUGCCCUCCAAACUGCUUGGCUUGAGUCCGGGAGAGGUGAGUGGAAUUCCCAGUGUAGCGGUGAAAUGCGUAGAUAUCGGGAGGAACACCGGUGGCGAAGGCGGUUCUCUGGGCCUGUACUGACGCUGAGGAGCGAAAGCGUGGGGAGCGAACAGG